rnacentral:misc_RNA from 1 species
GAUGAAGAACGCAGCGAAAUGCGAUAAGUAGUGUGAAUUGCAGAUUUCAGUGAAUCAUCGAAUCUUUGAACGCACAUUGCGCCCUUUGGUAUUCCGAAGGGCAUGCCUGUCUGAGCGUCAAUAAAUCAAUCAAACCUUGGUUUGGUAUUGGGAGAAGUGGCUCUGCCUCUCUCCUUUAAGCUAUUGGCGACACUAUUUCAGCUUGUAAGACGUAGUAAGUAAUAUUCUCGUUAAAGCAACUGUGUAGUCGUCUGCCAACUGAACGAUUUAUUUUAAAGCUUGACCUCAGAUCAGGUAGGGAUACCCCCUGAACUUAAGCAUAUCAAUAAGCGGAGGA